rnacentral:ncRNA from 1 species
GUUUGGUCCUAGCCUUACUCUCAACUACUACUCGACUUACACAUGCAAGUAUCCGCACCCCCGUGAAAACGCCCUCCCCCCUCAAUGCAGGACGAGGAGCUGGUAUCAGGCACGAACCCUCCGCCCAUGACGCCUAGCCACGCCACGCCCCCAAGGGCACUCAGCAGUGAUAAACAUUGUUAAUUAGCGCCAGCUUGAUUCAGUCAAAGUAGGUUUAAGGGCCGGCCAAUUCGGUGCCAGCCGCCGCGGCUACCCCGCUCGGCUCAAGUUGACAUUAUCGGCGUUAAGCGUGAUUAAAGUGCCAAACCUAUUAGAAUUGAAGCUUAACUAAGUCGUUAAACGCUUGUUCUCAAGAAACCCACACACGAAAGUUAUUCUAAAACACUUGAACCCACGACAGUUGGGGCGCAAACUGGGAUUAGAUACCCCACUAUGCCCAACCGUAAAAUAUUAAUUUACACCCACAUCCGCCAGGGGACUACGAGCCCAGCCUUAAAACCCAAAGGACUUGACGGUGUCCCACCCACCUAGAGGAGCCUGUUCUAUAAUCGACACUCCCCGAUACACCUCACCCCUUCUAGCAUAUCAGUCUGUAUACCUCCGUCAUAAGCUUACCAUGUGAACGUUUGCAGUAAGCCAAAAGAUUAACCAUCAAUACGUCAGGUCAAGGUGCAGCUUACGAAGCGGGAAGUAAUGGGCUACAAUUUCUACCAUAGAACACACGAAAAACUGCAUGCAAUACAGUAUUGAAGGUGGAUUUAGCAGUAAAAAGAAAAUAGAGAGUUCUUUUGACUCUGGCGCUGGGACGUGUACACACCGCCCGUCACCCUCUUCAAGUACCGCAUGGAUCAAGAAGAGGCAAGUCGUAACAUGGUAAGCGUACUGGAAAGUGCGCUUGGACAACAAAAUGUAGCUUAUCUAAAGCAUCUUGCUUACACCAAGAUAGAUGUCCCUAAACAGACCAUUUUGAGCCCAAACCCCAGCCCUAACCACAGCACCACACGACUACUAUUGAAUAAAACAUUUUUACCAUCUAGUAAAGGCGAUUAAAAAAUGACUAGGAGCUACAAAGACAGUACCGCAAGGGAAACAUGAAAUAAUAAUGAAAAUCAAAGCACAACAUAGCAGAGUUUUAACCUCGUACCUUUUGCAUCAUGGUCUAACCAGUUUAACCAAGCAAGACGUACUCUAAGUUUGACCCCCCGAAACUAAGCGAGCUACUCUUAAACAGCCUCUUAGGGCCAACCCGUCUCCGUAGCAAAGGAGUGGGAAGAUUUAAGAGUAGAGGUGAUAUACCUACCGAGCUUAGAGAUAGCUGGUUAUUUAGGAAAAGGAUUUAAGUCCGCCUUUAAGUUUCUACAGUACCCCAAACACCUCUUAAACUUAAAAGACAUUCGAAUAAGGUACAGCCUAUUUGAACAGGGAAACAGCCUGCAGACCCGGGUAAUGACCCCCCACGAUGUGACUAGGUGGGCCUAAAAGCAGCCAGCCUCCAGAAAGCGUCCAAGCUUCAUCACUAUCCAUUAAUAAUCCCUCUAUUUAUUCAGAACCCUCCAGCGCUACUAAAUAACCCCAUACCCGCUAUGGGAGAUAUUAUGCUAGAACUAGUAACAAGAAGAAGCACUUCUCCUAAAUAUAAGCGUAAGCCAAAAUGAACCCUCACUGGCACUUACCGCCGCUAAGCCCACAGUAGCAACCGCCACAAGAAAGCCCUACCUCACCCCGGCGUUAACCUUACACCAGCAUAUUACAGGAAAGAUUAAAAAAGGGGGAAGGAACUCGGCAAAUAUUAGCUCCGCCUGUUUACCAAAAACACCGCCUCUUGACAAAACAUAAGAGGUCCUGCCUGCCCAGUGACUAAGUUUAACGGCCGCGGUAUCCUAACCGUGCAAAGGUAGCAUAAUCACUUGUUCUUUAAAUCAGGACUAGUAUGAACGGCCACACGAGAGCUAUACUGUCUCCCCCCUUUAAUCAGUGAAACUGAUCUCCUCGUGAAGAAGCGAGGAUAGCCCAAUAAGACGAGAAGACCCCAUGGAGCUUUAAACUCGCACCACUGCCUCGCACACACCAAAAUACCCCAGGCAAUUGGCAGCUAGUCUUUAGGCUGGGGCGACCACGGAGAAAAACAUAACCUCCGCGAUGAUAAGGAAUCCUCCUAAUCAAAGAGCUACUGCUCUAAGAAUCAAUAAAUUGACAUUAGUUGACCCAAUUUUUUUGAUCAACGAACCAAGUUACCCUGGGGAUAACAGCGCAAUCCAUUUCAAGAGACCCUAUCAACAAAUGGGCUUACGACCUCGAUGUUGGAUCAGGGUACCCCAGUGGUGCAGCCGC